rnacentral:lncRNA from 1 species
ACGAACGAACGAACGAACGCGUGAGUUUAAAUUGGAUUGUAUUACGUAAGCUUGUGAGAUUAAAGAAUCUCAGGACAAAUCCGUGCGUUGACUUUACAAGUUCCAAUUAAGUAAUGUAAGUAUAUAGUAUCUACACUCGAGAGGAAAACGAAUGGGGGAAUAAUAUGGGAUUCUGUCGAAACAAAGAAGUGCAGCGAGUGGAGAAGACCUCGAGAUUCCUGCGCGAGUUUUGAAAGAGAAAAUAAAGAAAUAGAAGAAAAAAGAGGAGAUUGAACGACGAAAAAAAAAGAAAAAGGAAAAAAGGAAAAAAUGAAAAACAUAGCAGCAGUAAGCAUAGCAUGCAAUGUGCAUCGUGACUGCAUCCCGAAGGCUGGAUCGGUCUCGCGACCGGCUCUCUGACCUUGUCUGGGUGUUCACCUCAACGUUCCUCUUUCCCUCUUAUUCUCCCUCUCUUUCUUAACCCAGCAGACGAGUUCGGUGCGUCUUUUAUUCAACGUAUAUUCGUUGUUCUAUAUACGUAUAUGUGCAUCGUAUACAGGGUGGCCCAUUUAAACGAGGGUUUCAUGUAAAUAUUUCUUUUUUUUCUUUAACAUUUCUUUAACGAGAAUUUGUUUUGAGUAUA